rnacentral:lncRNA from 1 species
UCACCUCAUCUUCAAGAGUCUGUUGACUCUCCAUUUGUAAAGCUGAAAGAUUUCUUAAGUAUUAUUGACAAAUAAAACUACAUGUGUUCGCUGGGCGUUGGUGGAACACGCCUUUAAUUCCAG